GAUGAAUUGGAGUUCUAGUUCAUUUACUUUGAGAAAAUUAGAGUGUUUAAAGCAGCCUCUUGGGGCACUGAAUACAUUAGCAUGGGAUAAUAAAAUAGGAUCUUUACAAUAUAUUUUAUUGGUUUAAAUUGAAAUAAAGAUAAUGAUUAAUAGGGACAGUUGGGGGUAUUCAUAUUGGGUGGUUAGCGGUGAAAUGCUCGGAUCCAUUCAAGAUGAACUAAAGCGAAAGCAUUUACCAAGGAUGUUUUCAUUAAUCAAGAACGAAAGUUAAGGGAUCGAAGACGAUUAGAUACCGUCGUAGUCUUAACUAUAAACUAUGCCGACCAGGGAUAUGAGUUGUUAAGAUUAUGCGAAAGCAUAGUCAAUUUCUUCUUAUGGACCUUGUGAGAAAUCAUAAGUUAUUAGGUUCUGGGGGG
rnacentral:rRNA from 1 species